UACGAAGGGGGCUAGCGUUGUUCGGAAUUACUGGGCGUAAAGCGUGCGCAGGCGGUUCGUUGUGUCGGCGGUGAAAGCCCCGGGCUUAACCUGGGAACUGCGUUUGAUACGGCAGGGCUAGAGUUCGGGAGAGGAGAGUGGAAUUCCCAGUGUAGAGGUGAAAUUCGUAGAUAUUGGGAAGAACACCGGUGGCGAAGGCGGCUCUCUGGACCGAUACUGACGCUGAGGCGCGAAAGCGUGGGGAGCAAACAGG
rnacentral:rRNA from 1 species